UAGAAUCAGCAGAAGAAAUGCUACUCCGCCA
rnacentral:piRNA from 1 species